ACGGGUGAGUAACACGUGGAUAACCUACCUAUAAGACUGGGAUAACUUCGGGAAACCGGAGCUAAUACCAGAUAACAUGUUGAACCGCAUGGUUCAACAGUGAAAGACGGUCUUGCUGUCACUUAUAGAUGGAUCCGCGCCGCAUUAGCUAGUUGGUAAGGUAACGGCUUACCAAGGCAACGAUGCGUAGCCGACCUGAGAGGGUGAUCGGCCACACUGGAACUGAGACACGGUCCAGACUCCUACGGGAGGCAGCAGUAGGGAAUCUUCCGCAAUGGGCGAAAGCCUGACGGAGCAACGCCGCGUGAGUGAUGAAGGUCUUCGGAUCGUAAAACCCUGUUAUUAGGGAAGAACAAAUGUGUAAGUAACUAUGCACGUCUUGACGGCACCUAAUCAGAAAGCCACGGCUAACUACGUGCCAGCAGCCGCGGUAAUACGUAGGUGGCAAGCGUUAUCCGGAAUUAUUGGGCGUAAAGCGCGCGUAGGCGGUUUUUUAAGUCUGAUGUGAAAGCCCACGGCUCAACCGUGGAGGGUCAUUGGAAACUGGAAAACUUGAGUGCAGAAGAGGAAAGUGGAAUU
rnacentral:rRNA from 1 species